rnacentral:tRNA from 1 species
CGUAGCUCAAUGGUAGAGCUGUCGGCUGUUAACCGACAGGUUAUAGGUUCGAAUCCUAUCGG